UAUAUAACACGCGGCUACAGUACCCGUACCGGUACUGGAUUGUGUACCGGUACACAAUCUCAGAUUUCGAAAAUUUUCUUUAGAAAUCCAUCAAAUUUAAAUUAAUUUUAUAUAAAUUAAGGCUUUUACUCCAAAAAUCAUUAUAAUAAAAAUAAUAUAUUAUAAAAUUUUAAAAUACAUCGAAACAUCAAAAUUUCAUAAUCAAAACUGAUUUCAAGUUUCAAAAUUAUCAAGAUGUGAGUUGAUGAAAAAUGAUUUUUAGAAAUUCAACAAAAUUGACACCAAUUUAUCGCAAUAUGUUCAAAAUAGAGAUUUAACUAAUAUGAUACUGGGGGUGGCUCCUUGAACAUCGUUUUCAAACUAGCACUUUAUUACUCCGAGAAUUCUAAAAUAUUUAUUUUUAUCAACCUUUUUCGGUUAAUCAAUUCAAUUUUCAUGUGGUAGCUUCACACACUGUUCGGACGACCGAGGUGGUAGCUCUUUCCUACAUGUGGUGGUAGUUUUCACACUCCUUUUAGGAUGUAACUCUUUCCACAUCUUUUAAACAUAGGAGUUUCUUUUUCUCCUUUU
rnacentral:lncRNA from 1 species